UACGGAGGGUGCGAGCGUUGUCCGGAAUUAUUGGGUUUAAAGGGUGCGUAGGUGGUUUAUUAAGUCAGUGGUGAAAGUUUGCAGCUCAACUGUAAAAGUGCCAUUGAUACUGAUAGACUAGAAUACCGUGAAGGUGGGCGGAAUUUCUGAUGUAGCGGUGAAAUGCACAGAUAUCAGAAGGAACACCAACUGCGAAGGCAGCUCACUGUCCGGGUAUUGACACUGAUGCACGAAAGUGUGGGUAGCGAACAGG
rnacentral:rRNA from 1 species